UUGAUGCUAAGAGAAUGGAAAUACAGGGAAAAACUUUUUUUUAAAUUAAAAAUUGAAAUUUUUUUAAUUUGUGCAGAAACAAUUAUUAAUAUUAAGGACAAGAAGACCCUAUGAAUUUAUUAAAUUUUAUUUAAUAUGUAAUUACUAUUAGAAAAAUUUUGGCUGGGGCGGCUAAAAAAUAUUUUAAACUUUUUAAAAAUAAAAUGAUCCAUUAUUAAUGAUUAUAUGUUAAAUACUCUAGGGAUAACAGCGUUAUAUUUUUUGAUAGAUCAUAUUGACAAAAAAGUUUGCGACCUCGAUGUUGGAUUAGGAUACUUUUUUAAUGCAGAUAUUAAAAAAAGAAGUUUGGUCAACUUUUAAUUUCCUACUUGAUCUGAGUUCAGACCGG
rnacentral:rRNA from 1 species